rnacentral:lncRNA from 1 species
UUUCUUCAGUGAAACAAAAUAUUCUCACCAUUAUCUGUUUGCAGGAAUGGUUUCCAGAGGUUCGGCUUCUUGUGCAACAAUUUUGACGAGCAAACAACAGUUCACUGGAGAAGAAGAAGCAGGAGACUCAAGCACUCAACUCUCAGAUUCACGCUUCUGUCUGUGUAGCGGGUGUGGAUGCAGCUGUUACUGCUAUCGCAGGAGCCACCGCCG